ACACGGCUGGUGUAAUGGUAACAUCUGCGCUUCCCAUGCGCUGGCCCUGGGUUCGAUUCCCAGGCCGUGUA
rnacentral:tRNA from 2 species